ACUCCGUCGCCGAAUUCGAAGGGGCGGGUUUCGGGCAGCCGCUCGCCGCCGGAGCCGGCAUACGGCGUGGCGUGCUCGCCGCCAAAGGAGUCC
rnacentral:tRNA from 1 species